GCAUAUCAAUAAGCGGAGGAAAAGAAACUAACAAGGAUUCCCCUAGUAACGGCGAGUGAAGAGGGAAGAGCCCAAGAUUGAAAGCUGGCGCCUUCGGCGUCCGCAUUGUAAUCUCAAGAAGUGUUUUCCGCUUCGGACCAUGCCUAAGUCCCUUGGAAAAGGGCAUCAUAGAGGGUGAUAAUCCCGUUCAUGGCAUGGAGCGCCCGAAGCUUUGUGAUACACUUUCUAAGAGUCGAGUUGUUUGGGAAUGCAGCUCAAAAUGGGUGGUAAAUGCCAUCUAAGGCUAAAUAUUGGGGAGAGACCGAUAGCGAACAAGUACAGUGAUGGAAAGAUGAAAAGAACUUUGAAAAGAGAGUUAAACAGUACGUGAAAUUGCCAAAAGGGAAGGGUAGGAGGUCAGAGAUGCGUCUUGGGAUUCAGCCUUGCUUCUGCUUGGUGUUUUUCCCAAGUUUGCAGGCCAACGUCGGUUUUGGGCACUGGAGAAGGGUGGAAGGAAUGUGGCACCUCUCGGGGUGUGUUAUAGCCUUCUACUGGAUACAGCGACCGAGACCGAGGACAGCAGCGUACUCGCAAGAGCGGGCCUUCGGGCACCUUUACGCUUAGGGCGUUGGCAUAAUGGCCCUCUACCACCCGUCUUGAAACACGGACC
rnacentral:rRNA from 1 species